GCUGUGGCUCAGUGGAAAAGCCUCUGCUUUGCGUGCGGAAGGUUCCAGGUUCGAUCCCUGGCAUCUAUA
rnacentral:tRNA from 1 species